rnacentral:rRNA from 1 species
UACGUAGGGUGCAAGCGUUGUCCGGAAUUAUUGGGCGUAAAGAGCUCGUAGGCGGUUUGUCGCGUCUGUCGUGAAAGCUUGGGGCUUAACCCCAAGUCUGCGGUGGAUACGGGCAGACUAGAGGCAGGUAGGGGAGAACGGAAUUCCCGGUGUAGCGGUGAAAUGCGCAGAUAUCGGGAGGAACACCGGUGGCGAAGGCGGUUCUCUGGGCCUGUACUGACGCUGAGGAGCGAAAGCGUGGGGAGCGAACAGG